rnacentral:rRNA from 1 species
GUGAUUAGCAGAAUCCCGUGAACCAUCGAGUCUUKGGAMCGCAAGUUGCGCCCGAAGCCAUUAGGCCGAGGGCACGUCUGCCUGGGCGUCACAC